rnacentral:lncRNA from 1 species
CCGUUUNNUUUGGUUUUNNACGUUAGUUGUCGUCGUCACGGGUUUGGCCUUGGUUCAAGGGUUUUAGAUUUGGUCCAAGAAUUUGUCCUUGUUUCCAACAAUUUUGUCAUGGUUCCAAUGUUUUACUCUUAUUCUGAUUCUUAACUAAUUUUACGAUUUUUUAUUUUAAACGUGAAAUUCUUGUGAUGUCCAUGAGCAGUUCCUAGAUCCUCUGUUCAAUUUAUGCUGAUGAGCCGCAUGGUUGCCUAUAAUUCGCAGUGGAAGAAGAAGAGGAUGAGGAGGCUCAAGAGGAAGCGCCGAAAGAUGAGGCAGCGAUCCAAGUAGGCGCCUUGGAGGAUGGAGGCGUAGCACCAUCUUACAUCCAGGCAUCGAAACACCGAGGGAUGAUGGCAUAGGCUUGUGAUUCCUGAUGUGUUCUGCCGCUGUGGUUGUGGGAAGUCGUUUUACCUUUGUCUUGUCAAAUUUUAGCUGGUUUAAUACUUUGUCUUGGUUAUGUUCCCAGGGACUGAAGUUUUUAUGGUAAUGUGAGGGAUUAUAUGGUGUUUUAUGGACUGAAAUUUUUAAUGGCACCCUAAUUAAUCCUUUUAAGCCUAACUCCUGAAAUAAGUUUACUUUUUGGACCCUUUGCCAUUUUGGUUCCUGGUCCUGCCAUUCUUUUUUUUGCCGUUGGCCGAAAAAUGGCCCGGUAACCCUUCAAUUUGGUUUAAGGCUUGNNCCAGGUUGAAAAUGGGGUUUCCAAUCCCAAAAAUGGGAAACCUUUCCCCGGAAAUUGGUUGGUUUUUUGGUUUUUUUUUUUGGGGGGCCAAAAGGCCAACCCCAAUUGGUUGGGGUUAAAAAUUUUUUGGGAAAAACCCUUGGAAAGGAACCAAUUAAAAAAACCCAUUCCCAAAAUGGGGCUGGGCNCACCACAAAANUUUNUGNGGGGGAAAAAAACCANUGGGGGGAACAUUUUCCGAUAUUGGAUGCCCAUUAGGCUAUGUGANCGNCUUGCCCGGUGUUUUCUNAAGCAANAACCAAANAAAGAAGGAGCCNACAAAACACAAGNGAAGAACCGGCCUCACNGGNCCGGUUUUUGUUUAUAAAAAACACCCCCCAUAANAAAUUUGGGCCACCCCACCACCUCUAUAAAACUAGGGCACCCCCGGCGCCUUUUGGGUUUGCAAUCGAAAACCAAACCAACCCUUAAUGCGAGGGGCGGCCACCUCAACAAACCAGAANAUAACCCCCGGGCCCCCUUUGCCGGGAGUUUUUNGGGGAAAAAAGCCAGGCAACUNGAAGGGGGGGACCGGANCACCUCAUUUUAAAAAGAACACCCCCCCCGGCAACAGUUUCGUUUUGGAAACCAAANCCAACCUGAAAAAUAUGAGNCCGGUCCAAAAACNAAANNAACUUCAACNCCCCCUCCCCCGGGUUUAGAUAAAUUGGGAAGACCAACACCAAAUGUUAAAGGCGNAAACAAACCCAAACAANNUUCCCCCCAAACGGGCGCCGGUGGGUUUAAAAAAAAAGGGUAAACCCGGAACCGGGAGAGAACCACCCAAACNCAANAAAACCACCCCUUCCGGCGUGUUAUGUNAAAGGGGANAAAACAACCCGAAANUGGCCCCCAACAACUUCAAAACAAACCGCUGCCCCCGCGCUGGGGAAAUGGCCAACCCACACUUUUUGGAAAUCGGGGCAAACCCUAAUUUCCGCCCCUAGCCCCUGGGGGGGAAAUGGAGGAANAAAACGAAGAAGGGAAAACCGCAACCCAAACCUAAACCGAGUUUUGCCCUUGGUNUUUGAAAGGAAAACCANAAGGAACUCCACCAAAAAAAAAAACCCCAAACGGCCGCCCGUGGUUUGAAAGUUAAAACCGCAAUUUAGACCGGAAACCAGAAAUAAGGACNUUUGGGCCCCUUUUUCCGAGAAGGGNUUACAAGAGUGACCCAAACCCCGAGGGUACCCCCCUGGUAUCUGGGUGUGGCAAAAUGAAGAGGGGNAAGAGACCCUACAAAAAGGAAAAACCCGGGCCCCUCGGUUUUAAACAUNAAANCGAAAAAAGUUCAAGAAAAUUCCCGGUUUCACGGGGUAAAUAGGGAAAAUCCACAAGGGAAAAGGGGCCAUAUUUCCCGGGCGGUGGGGGGUUAAGCNAAAUUUAUUAAAAGGGCCACGCCAGGGGUUCNUCGCCCUUUUUUUUUGUAACAGGAAAGGGCAACCGGGAAGGAUCCCCCGCUCCCUUGGGGAACCCGGAAANCGGGGAAAGGGCCCCAAAAUUUCUAAGGGGUUUCUCGGGGUUUGGAANAGGGAAAUUAGCCCCCAAAGGGGGGCCCGGGUUUUUGGGAACAAAAGACCCCAGGGAGAUCCCAAUGCCCAUUUUUUGAAAAAAAGGGGACCGAAGAAAAUUUACAACCGUGGGCGCCCGUAAAAGAAAAUCCCAAGAUUUCAACGCCCCGGCUUUGGGGGGAAAGGAAAACGGGGGAAAACGCCCCGAAUUUGGNNUGGAAUGGGCCCAAC